AGCGGAGGGAUCAUUACCGAGUUAUACAACUCCCAAACCACUGUGAACCUUACCUCAGUUGCCUCGGCGGGAACGCCCCGGCCGCCUGCCCCCGCGCCGGCGCCGGACCCAGGCGCCCGCCGCAGGGACCCCAAACUCUCUUGCAUUACGCCCAGCGGGCGGAAUUUCUUCUCUGAGUUGCACAAGCAAAAACAAAUGAAUCAAAACUUUCAACAACGGAUCUCUUGGUUCUGGCAUCGAUGAAGAACGCAGCGAAAUGCGAUAAGUAAUGUGAAUUGCAGAAUUCAGUGAAUCAUCGAAUCUUUGAACGCACAUUGCGCCCGCCAGCAUUCUGGCGGGCAUGCCUGUUCGAGCGUCAUUUCAACCCUCGAGCCCCCCCCGGGGGCCUCGGUGUUGGGGGACGGCACACCAGCCGCCCCCGAAAUGCAGUGGCGACCCCGCCGCAGCCUCCCCUGCGUAGUAGCACACACCUCGCACCGGAGCGCGGAGGCGGUCACGCCGUAAAACGCCCAACUUUCUUAGAGUGACCUCGGAUCAGUAGAUACCCGUAUA
rnacentral:rRNA from 1 species